rnacentral:rRNA from 1 species
CCUACGGGAGGCAGCAGUGGGGAAUAUUGCACAAUGGGGGAAACCCUGAUGCAGCGACGCCGCGUGAGUGAAGAAGAAAUUCGUUAUGUAAAGCUCUAUCAGCAGGGAAGAAAAUGACGGUACCUGAGUAAGAAGCCCCGGCUAACUACGUGCCAGCAGCCGCGGUAAUACGUAGGGGGCAAGCGUUAUCCGGAUUUACUGGGUGUAAAGGGAGCGUAGACGGCAGUGCAAGUCUGGGGUGAAAGGCGGGGGCUCAACCCCCGGACUGCUCUGGAAACUGUACGGUUGGAGUGCAGGAGGGGUAAGUGGAUGUCCUGGUGUAGCGGUGAAAUGCUUAGAUAUUAGGAGGAACCCCAGUGGCGAGGGCGGCUUACGGGACUGUAACUGACGUUGAGGCUCGAAAGCGUGGGGAGCAAACAGGAUUAGAUACCCCGGUAGU